AGCAAACCUUAUUUUUACCACCAUCUCAUCCUCCUUAAUUAGCAAGCCUUAUUUUCCCUACUAUCACCAACAUCUCAUCCUCCGAUUGAGAUGCAGAUCUUGGCCUCUUCACUCAUCCAUGUGCUUCCUUACUUUAACGUCGACGCCGGCCGUUGCGGGACACGGGGGCUGAAGAGCUAGAGUAGCAAGUCACCGGGGUACGUGCUGUGGCUGGCCGGACGUCCGGCGAGGGAGGCAACCAGAGGGAUGCAUGUUCUCUCUGCCGGCACGAGCACGAAAGCAGCAACAACUAAUUUCGGAUUACCAUCGAGGGGGGCGACAAUCAAUUUGUAGCCCAUUUAUACAGAAGUGAAGGACCAACCAGCUAUGAUGCCUCUCAUGAGGUCAUCAUGACAGGGGUUAUAGCCAGCGCGGCCGACAACUUCGACACCUUGAUGACCCCCAUCACCGACCAAUAUCCUGAAGGGGUGAAACAUGAGGCAUUGUGCCUUUAACCUCCCUGUCAAGCGGGAAGAGCUCGAGUGCCCAAAGAACAAGCUCGCCACCUAGCGCGGUGGUCGUGUUUAGGAGUUGUGCAAUCAAGGAUGUCAAGUCAACGUCGAGUUUGGCUUGCUGAAGAAGAAGGGUGUCCCCGUCUUCGACUCUCCGGUCAAGAACCUCGUCGCCGCCACGAUGGCAUCCCACGCGAUCGAGAUCUCGAAAGGAGACCAAAGGAGAAUUCCCUCAAGAAGACACGCCUAAAACUGAAGAUUUCAUGCAAAGGACAAAGGAUAAAAAGCAGAGAAUUAACCAGUUGCAGAAUUUACUUGGUCACUGGACAAUGAUGGCUAAUUUUAUCAAUACUGAAAACAGACAGAAAUUUUACUGCCGCGGACAAUGAUUAUGGAGACAUACUCAAAGCAAACGAACCUAUGCAUGAAGAGCUCUUAACGAUAUAGGUGUGUUCACGCCCGCGCGAUGCAUCAAGGAUGCGGGCACUGGCUAACUGGCUGGCCGACCGUAGAGAAGAGGUCCAUGGUGCAUCUGAUGGCUGAGGAGGCCGCCCUGCGCUCACAUCAGAGGAACUAAAAAAAUAAGGAGUAUGGGAAGUGUCUUACAGAACCAGUAUUGCGAAUCCAACCUCUACCAAGACAUCAGUAGGCCAUGAGACGAAAACCUCGAAGAAUGAUAGCUGGUCAUAACAGAUUGCUCAAACACGAGAAAAGCAACAACCGGCAUCCUAACAAAAAAACAAGUCCAAAAGCACAAAGCAGCUACAACUUAGCAAUAUCAGGCUCAGCAGAGAGACUGCAAGACGGAGCAGUGGCCUGAGUAUCCUUCAUCGCGUGACAAAUCUUCAUGGGGGGUCAUACAUUAAUUUGGGCAAUUGGAAAUUAAGGUAAUCAUUUUCUUUCUCCAGAGAACAUUAUAUUUCCCUUUGAAUAUAGUAAAUGGUGCGACACAA